rnacentral:rRNA from 1 species
UACGAAGGGGGCUAGCGUUGCUCGGAAUGACUGGGCGUAAGGGCGCGUAGGCGGAAUGCUUUGUCGGGCGUGAAAUUCCAGGGCUCAACCUUGGGGCUGCGUUCGAGACGGGUAUUCUUGAGUUCGGAAGAGGGUCGUGGAAUUCCCAGUGUAGAGGUGAAAUUCGUAGAUAUUGGGAAGAACACCGGUGGCGAAGGCGGCGACCUGGUCCGAGACUGACGCUGAGGCGCGAAAGCGUGGGGAGCAACAGG